GGUUGACCUCGGAUCAGGUAGGGAUGCCCCCUG
rnacentral:rRNA from 1 species